CCGGAAAGGAACAAUCGGGUCCCGCAGUAUCAGGAGAACGACGAAAUUCGUGAUUAUGACGUUUGAUCAUGGCUCAGGACGAACGCUGGCGGCGUGCUAACACAUGCAAGUCGAACGAUGAAGCCGCUUCGGUGGUGGAUUAGUGGCGAACGGGUGAGUAACACGUGGGCAAUCUGCCCUGCACUCUGGGACAAGCCCUGGAAACGGGGUCUAAUACCGGAUACGACCACCGGCCGCAUGGUCUGGUGGUGGAAAGCUCCGGCGGUGCAGGAUGAGCCCGCGGCCUAUCAGCUUGUUGGUGGGGUGAUGGCCUACCAAGGCGACGACGGGUAGCCGGCCUGAGAGGGCGACCGGCCACACUGGGACUGAGACACGGCCCAGACUCCUACGGGAGGCAGCAGUGGGGAAUAUUGCACAAUGGGCGCAAGCCUGAUGCAGCGACGCCGCGUGAGGGAUGACGGCCUUCGGGUUGUAAACCUCUUUCAGCAGGGAAGAAGCGCAAGUGACGGUACCUGCAGAAGAAGCACCGGCUAACUACGUGCCAGCAGCCGCGGUAAUACGUAGGGUGCGAGCGUUGUCCGGAAUUAUUGGGCGUAAAGAGCUCGUAGGCGGCUUGUCACGUCGGAUGUGAAAGCCCGGGGCUUACCCCGGGUCUGCAUUCGAUACGGGCA
rnacentral:rRNA from 1 species